GUGCUCGCUUUGGCAGCACAUAUACUGUAAGUGGAAUGAUGCAGAGAAAAUUAUCAUGGCCCCUGCACAAGGAUAACAUGUCAAUUCGUGAGGCAUUCCAUAUCUUC